rnacentral:rRNA from 1 species
UACGAAGGGGGCUAGCGUUGUUCGGAAUUACUGGGCGUAAAGGGCGCGUAGGCGGUACUUCAAGUCAGGCGUGAAAGCCCCGGGCUCAACCUGGGAACCGCGCUUGAGACUGGAGAACUAGAGUUCGGGAGAGGAUGGUGGAAUUCCCAGUGUAGAGGUGAAAUUCGUAGAUAUUGGGAAGAACACCGAUGGCGAAGGCAGCCAUCUGGACCGACACUGACGCUGAGGCGCGAAAGCGU